rnacentral:rRNA from 1 species
CACUGCCGAGAAAAGCCUCUAGAUAGAAAAUAGGUGCCCGUACCGCAAACCGACACAGGUAGUCAAGAUGAGAAUUCUAAGGUGAGCGAGCGAACUCUCGUUAAGGAACUCGGCAAAAUGACCCCGUAACUUCGGGAGAAGGGGUGCUCUUUAGGGUUAACGCCCAGAAGAGCCGCAGUGAAUAGGCCCAAGCGACUGUUUAUCAAAAACACAGGUCUCUGCUAAACCGUAAGGUGAUGUAUAGGGGCUGACGCCUGCCCGGUGCUGGAAGGUUAAGAGGAGUGGUUAGCUUCUGCGAAGCUACGAAUCGAAGCCCCAGUAAACGGCGGCCGUAACUAUAACGGUCCUAAGGUAGCGAAAUUCCUUGUCGGGUAAGUUCCGACCCGCACGAAAGGCGUAACGAUUUGGGCACUGUCUCAACGAGAGACUCGGUGAAAUCAUAGUACCUGUGAAGAUGCAGGUUACCCGCGACAGGACGGAAAGACCCCGUGGAGCUUUACUGUAGCCUGAUAUUGAAAUUCGGCACAGCUUGUACAGGAUAGGUAGGAGCCUUUGAAACGUGAGCGCUAGCUUACGUGGAGGCGCUGGUGGGAUACUACCCUAGCUGUGUUGGCUUUCUAACCCGCACCACUUAUCGUGGUGGGAGACAGUGUCAGGCGGGCAGUUUGACUGGGGCGGUCGCCUCCUAAAAGGUAACGGAGGCGCUCAAAGGUUCCCUCAGAAUGGUUGGAAAUCAUUCAUAGAGUGUAAAGGCAUAAGGGAGCUUGACUGCGAGACCUACAAGUCGAGCAGGGUCGAAAGACGGACUUAGUGAUCCGGUGGUUCCGCAUGGAAGGGCCAUCGCUCAACGGAUAAAAGCUACCCCGGGGAUAACAGGCUUAUCUCCCCCAAGAGUUCACAUCGACGGGGAGGUUUGGCACCUCGAUGUCGGCUCAUCGCAUCCUGGGGCUGUAGUCGGUCCCAAGGGUUGGGCUGUUCGCCCAUUAAAGCGGUACGCGAGCUGGGUUCAGAACGUCGUGAGACAGUUCGGUCCCUAUCCGUCGUGGGCGUAGGAAAUUUGAGAGGAGCUGUCCUUAGUACGAGAGGACCGGGAUGGACAUACCUCUGGUGUACCAGUUGUCGUGCCAACGGCAUAGCUGGGUAGCUAUGUGUGGACGGGAUAAGUGCUGAAAGCAUCUAAGCAUGAAGCCCCCCUCAAGAUGAGAUUUCCCAACUUCGGUUAUAAGAUCCCUCAAAGAUGAUGAGGUUAAUAGGUUCGAGGUGGAAGCAUGGUGACAUGUGGAGCUGACGAAUACUAAUCGAUCGAAGACUUAAUC